UAAUAUAAGGACCAAAAUCACAAUAAGCUAAUAAGAUAGGAACUAAAACUAUCAUUUCCCGAUUUUUUUUCAAUGAAACAAAAAAAAUGUUGUCAAUAGAAUGAUUGAAGAAUCACAGAGUGUAACUUAUUUUAGUUGUCCAGAUGCAUUUUUAAAGUGAUACGUUUUGUAUCUAAAGUCAUGUGGCCAAAAACGCUACACGCUCCAUAGCCUCUCACCGCAUUUUUAGUCAUUCUUUGCCGCCCAAGUAUUUGCGUACCCUUUGCCGCCUCGAGAAACUUCUUUGCCGCCUUUUAUGGUUUAACUUAUCUACCGUUAAAUACCUAUUCCUAAAUUAAUCUCAAUCGUCCAUUCCUCCCUAACCCUCAAUAAAUUGCAAUUUGAUUCUGCUUUUCAUUUUAAUCACUAAAACCUCGUCCUACCGUUCGUCGAAUGGCUGGUAAACGGUGGUAGCUGUUUUUGCACCGUCGACGGUUCACGUAGAUGUUGUCGUUCUGAAGCUUUUGGCAGAGAUUCAUGGAUAUGGACUAAUUGCUUGAUCAACCGUUUCGAGGAUUGUACCGUUAGCUAUGAGAGAGUUAUCUAUCCGCAUAGAGCUGCGACGCUAAUGAAUUGGUAUCCUAUUUGCUACAAAUCAAACGGAUUGGAUUGCUGAUCUUUCAAUGCUGCAAUUUCAUCUAUGAAGGGCAUCUAAGGUUCUAAUUGUUUUAUUUAAUGUCUAUGUUUAUGUGAAUAAUUUAUAUACACCAGUAGUUUUCUAUUUAUGCUUGCUUAUGUAUGGGAGGAUGAAAGAUUGAGUCUGUAACGAUGUAUCGGGGUAUGAGAGGAAAAAGUGAGGUAUUUUAUUGUUCAUGUUACCAGGCCUUUGCCAUGUUGGGUGCGCUCGCAUGGCAGGUCACGAGUACCUAAUAAACGUAUUUAUUUUUGGCGUCUGAGGGGAGAUGGUACGGGGUUUUGCCCGGCUCUCCUCUCUCUGUGUCGUGUCUCUUUAUAUUUUU